rnacentral:rRNA from 1 species
GAUGAACGCUGGCGGCGUGCCUAAUACAUGCAAGUCGAGCGAAUGGAUUAAGAGCUUGCUCUUAUGAAGUUAGCGGCGGACGGGUGAGUAACACGUGGGUAACCUGCCCAUAAGACUAGGAUAACUCCGGGAAACCGGGGCUAAUACCGGAUAACAUUUUGAACCGCAUGGUUCGAAAUUGAAGGGCGGCUUCGGCUGUCACUUAUGGAUGGACCCGCGUCGCAUUAGCUAGUUGGUGAGGUAACGGCUCACCAAGGCAACGAUGCGUAGCCGACCUGAGAGGGUGAUCGGCCACACUGGGACUGAGACACGGCCCAGACUCCUACGGGAGGCAGCAGUAGGGAAUCUUCCGCAAUGGACGAAAGUCUGACGGAGCAACGCCGCGUGAGUGAUGAAGGCUUUCGGGUCGUAAAACUCUGUUGUUAGGGGAGAACAAGUGCUAGUUGAAUAAGCUGGCACCUUGACGGUACCUAACCAGAAAGCCACGGCUAACUACGUGCCAGCCGCCGCAGUAA